CGGGGAGAGUGUUGGUAUCUCAAGGAGGUUUCAUAAGCCUCCAUCCGCGGGUUCGAUUCCCGCCUCCGCAACCA
rnacentral:tRNA from 1 species